rnacentral:rRNA from 1 species
AGCCAUAAGUAUUCAUUUAUGGUUUAACCUGCCCAAUGUUAGUUUAAUUAAUGGCCGCGGUACCCUGACCGUGCUAAGGUAGCGUAAUCAGUUGGCUUUUAAAUGGAGUCAGGAAUGAAUGGGAUAACCGGGUCUAACUGUCUCCUAACUAUUUUAUCAAAUUUACUAAUCAGGUGAAAAAGCCUGAAAAUUGAAAAGGGACGAGAAGACCCUUAGAAUUUUAUUUAGAGUGAGCUAGAAGUAACUUGUGCUCAUAAUUAUUUUGUUGGGGUGACAAAGAAAUAUUUACUAACUUUCUUUAAUUUACAUGCCGAGUUUUACUAAGUAAGAAUAAAUUACCUGAGGGAUAACAGCAUAAUUCUAAAGAUGAGUUUGUGACCUCGAUGUUGGACUAGGAAACUAGCAAGCUAGCCGUUUGUUGUGUGG